rnacentral:rRNA from 1 species
AGUGAACGCUGGCGGUAGGCCUAACACAUGCAAGUCGAACGGCAGCACAGUAAGAGCUUGCUCUUACGGGUGGCGAGUGGCAGACGGGUGAGGAAUACAUCGGAAUCUACUUUUUCGUGGGGGAUAACGUAGGGAAACUUACGCUAAUACCGCAUACGACCUACGGGUGAAAGCAGGGGAUCUUCGGACCUUGCGCGAUUGAAUGAGCCGAUGUCGGAUUAGCUAGUUGGCGGGGUAAAGGCCCACCAAGGCGACGAUCCGUAGCUGGUCUGAGAGGAUGAUCAGCCACACUGGAACUGAGACACGGUCCAGACUCCUACGGGAGGCAGCGGUGGGGAAUAUUGGACAAUGGGCGCAAGCCUGAUCCAGCCAUACCGCGUGGGUGAAGAAGGCCUUCGGGUUGUAAAGCCCUUUUGUUGGGAAAGAAAAGCAGCAGGUUAAUACCCCGCUGUUCUGACGGUACCCAAAGAAUAAGCACCGGCUAACUUCGU